rnacentral:ncRNA from 1 species
CGUUCAUCCUAAGUUUAAGGACGGAAGUAAGCAAAAAGCUGAAGGAACGCAC